rnacentral:rRNA from 1 species
GACGAACGCUGGCGGCGUGCUUAACACAUGCAAGUCGAACGGAAAGGCCCUGCUUUUGUGGGGUGCUCGAGUGGCGAACGGGUGAGUAACGCGUGAGUAACCUGCCCUUGACUUUGGGAUAACUUCAGGAAACUGGGGCUAAUACCGGAUAGGAGCUCCUGCUGCAUGGUGGGGGUUGGAAAGUUUCGGCGGUUGGGGAUGGACUCGCGGCUUAUCAGCUUGUUGGUGGGGUAGUGGCUUACCAAGGCUUUGACGGGUAGCCGGCCUGAGAGGGUGACCGGCCACAUUGGGACUGAGGUACGGCCCAGACUCCUACGGGAGGCAGCAGUGGGGAAUAUUGCGCAAUGGGCGGAAGCCUGAUGCAGCAACGCCGCGUGCGGGAUGACGGCCUUCGGGUUGUAAACCGCUUUCGCCUGUGACGAAGCGUGAGUGACGGUAAUGGGUAAAGAAGCACCGGCUAACUACGUG